AAAGAGUGGAAGAAAUGAAUGGAGGUUCUGACCUCUUGUCCCCCAAAAGGAGACUGGAUCCCCUCAGUGAAGAUGGGAGUUCAGAUGUAGAUGAUCUGAGUCCAG